rnacentral:rRNA from 1 species
UACGUAGGGUGCGAGCGUGUCCGGAAUUAUUGGGCGUAAAGAGCUCGUAGGUGGCGGGUCACGUCGGGUGUGAAAGCCCGGGGCUUAACUCCGGGUCUGCAUUCGAUACGGGUCUGCUGGGGGUCCGGCAGGGGAGACUGGAAUUCCUGGUGUAGCGGUGAAAUGCGCAGAUAUCAGGAGGAACACCGGUGGCGAAGGCGGGUCUCUGGGCCGGUACCGACGCUGAGGAGCGAAAGCGUGGGGGAGCGAACAGG